rnacentral:rRNA from 1 species
GGAGUUAGCCGGUGCUUCUUCUGUGAGUGAUGUCCUUCCUGCCGGCUAUUAACCCGCAGGCCUUCUUCCUCACUGAAAGUGCUUUACAACCCGAAGGCCUUCUUCACACACGCGGCAUGGCUGGAUCAGGGUUGCCCCCAUUGUCCAAUAUUCCCCACUGCUGCCUCCCGUAGGAGUCUGGGCCGUGUCUCAGUCCCAGUGUGGCUGAUCAUCCUCUCAGACCAGCUACGGAUCGUCGCCUUGGUGAGCCGUUACCUCACCAACCAGCUAAUCCGACAUAGGCUCAUCCGAUAGCGCGAGGCCCGAAGGUCCCCCGCUUUCCCCCGUAGGGCGUAUGCGGUAUUAGCCUGGGUUUCCCCAGGUUAUCCCCCACUACCGGGCAGAUUCCUAUGCAUUACUCACCCGUCCGCCGCUCGCCACCAGGGAGCAAGCUCCCCGUGCUGCCGCUAGACUUGCAUGUGUUAGGCCUGCCGCCAGCGUUCAAUCUAAGCCAGAUCAAACUCUGA